rnacentral:rRNA from 1 species
GUGAGGAAUUUUCCGCAAUGGGCGAAAGCCUGACGGAGCAAUGCCGCGUGAAGGAUGAAGGCCUAUGGGUUGUAAACUUCUUUUCUUAGAGAAGAAUAUUGACGGUAUCUGAGGAAUAAGCAUCGGCUAACUCUGUGCCAGCAGCCGCGGUAAUACGAGGGGUCCUAGCGUUGUUCGGAAUCAUUGGGCGUAAAGGGUGUGUAGGUGGCCAUGUAAGUCAGGUGUGAAAGCCCCGGGCUCAACCCGGGAAGUGCACUUGAUACUGCGUGGCUUGAGUACCGAAGAGGGUAGUGGAAUUCCAGGUGUAGUGGUGAAAUACGUAGAUAUCUGGAGGAACACCGGUGGCGAAGGCGGCUACCUGGUCGAGUACUGACACUGAGACACGAAAGCAUGGGGAUCAAACAGGAUUAGAAACCCCGGUAGUCC